rnacentral:rRNA from 1 species
UACGAAGGGGGCGAGCGUUGUUCGGAUUUACUGGGCGUAAAGGGCGCGUAGGUGGUUCUGUAUGUCUACCGUGAAAGCGUACGGCUCAACCGUAUUUUGUCGGUGGAAACUGCAGGACUUGAGGCUGGGAGGGGCUGGUGGAAUUCCCUGUGUAGCGGUGAAAUGCGUAGAGAUGGGGGAGAACACUCGUGGCGAAGGCGGCCAGCUAGACCAGUUCUGACACUGAGGCGCGACAGCGUGGGGAGCAAACAGG